GACGAACGCUGGCGGCGUGCUUAACACAUGCAAGUCGAGCGGUAAGGCCCUUUCGGGGGUACACGAGCGGCGAACGGGUGAGUAACACGUGGGUGACCUGCCCUCAGCUCUGGGAUAAGCCCGGGAAACUGGGUCUAAUACUGGAUAUGACUCCACGGUGCAUGUCGUGGGGUGGAAAGCCUUGUGCGGCUGAGGAUGGGCCCGCGGCCUAUCAGCUUGUUGGUGGGGUGANGGCCUACCAAGGCGACGACGGGUAGCCGGCCUGAGAGGGCGACCGGCCACACUGGGACUGAGACACGGCCCAGACUCCUACGGGAGGCAGCAGUGGGGAAUCUUGCGCAAUGGGCGAAAGCCUGACGCAGCGACGCCGCGUGAGGGAUGACGGCCUCGGUU
rnacentral:rRNA from 1 species